GAUGAACGCUGGCGGCGUGCCUAAUACAUGCAAGUCGAGCGAAUGGAUUAAGAGCUUGCUCUUAUGAAGUUAGCGGCGGACGGGUGAGUAACACGUGGGUAACCUGCCCAUAAGACUGGGAUAACUCCGGGAAACCGGGGCUAAUACCGGAUAAUAUUUUGAACUGCAUGGUUCAAAAUUGAAAGGCGGCUUCGGCUGUCACUUAUGGAUGGACCCGCGUCGCAUUAGCUAGAUGGUGAGGUAACGGCUCACCAAGGCAACGAUGCGUAGCCGACCUGAGAGGGUGAUCGGCCACACUGGGACUGAGACACGGCCCAGACUCCUACGGGAGGCAGCAGUAGGGAAUCUUCCGCAAUGGACGAAAGUCUGACGGAGCAACGCCGCGUGAGUGAUGAGGGCUUUCGGGUCGUAAAACUCUGUUGUUAGGGAAGAACAAGUGCUAGUUGAAUAAGCUGGCACCUUGACGGUACCUAACCAGAAAGCCACGGCUAACUACGUGCCAGCCGCCGCCGUAA
rnacentral:rRNA from 1 species